UGAAGAGAAGCAGAGGACAGUUUGGAGAAGUGCUGUGGUGGGCUAAGAAGUCCAAGACCCUAGAUAAACAGCAGGAGUGUGAUUUUUGUUGGGUGCUCCACAGAGAUGGAAACUGACUGCCUUGUGACCAUAAAGAAGGUAGAAUCAGAAGAGAAGGAAAAGAUCUGAGCCUCCGGCCCAAGGCACGGAAACUGUGAUUCUCCUCCCAAAACAGUGCUGUGAGAUAGCUGGCUGGGGCCAGUGUAAGCAGAGGGAGAGCUGAAUAACCUGAGUGGUGCUAGUAAUUCUGAAUGAUAGUAUGGGGACUUACACCGGAAAUCAUGGCUUACUUUGAACCUCCUACCCUUUCCUCCUCUAUGGCUUAAAAUAAGUAGACACUGUUAUCAGACUCUCGUCACGACUUGUAACUUGUCUGCAAUAACAAAGUUAACCAGCAACAGCAGUCAGUGCUCAGUGGUUGCAUGUGAGUAAUGCACUGACAAAUUAAAAACUGUAACGAGAAUGAAUGAAUUAUGAAUAUGCCCAUCACCUUGUCACUUUUACAUUAGAAACUGCAGUCAUUUUAAAUAGCCUUGUU